GUUGAGAUAACUAUCUGAAUUAGUUGAUGGGUUUCUUUGAUAUUGAGUUUUGACUAAGUUGAGUUUGGGUACAAACUAUAAAAAUUGGAUCAUUUAGUGAUGUCUAAAGUAGAAGUUUUUAUCAUUCUUUGGCUCUGUGUUUUUUUUUUUUUUGCAUAUCUAUAUUUACACAUUUUUGGUUGUUUCAUGCUGUGAUAUCUCGUGGUAGAUUUCAGUACUGUCUGAUCUUUCUAUGACAUUUUUUGUGCUUAUCACCUUUGCUCUUUGUUAGCAUCAUGUUGUUUGUAAAUUUUUAAAUUCUAGUUUGUGUUGAUGGAUUCCUUUUCAUACUGUUAUGGCAAUAUCACUACUUGUUGCUUUUGAGAACCCGCUUUGUGUACAUUUUAUAGAUCAACAUGGUAUAAUCUUUAACUUGUAAUAUUAUUCACAGUUGUGUUUAUGAUUGAUGUGUUUGUUUAUGAUAGAUUUGGUUGUGUCCAUGACUCUUUCUGUUACAGUGGUUUAUGAUAGGUUUGGUUGUGUCUUAGAGUUGCUUGCGUUCGGAUGUCGAUUUUGGGAUUGGGCUUGGUUUCUUAGUUAUUGUGCAAUACUAUUUAACAUUAUUCCAAAAAAUUGUAAAUCGUUAUUUUUUUUUCUUUUUGUUUUCAGGGAAGAAUGAUUCUUCAAAUGAGCUGAAAGGACUGAAAACAAUCAUGUAUAUAGGCAGAGAAGAAGCAAUCGACAUUGUCUUCGAUUAUGGGCCUGACUGGUUCAAACGCAGCGGUUGCAGUUGCGGGUGUGGGAGUUUGCGGGGUGGUUACGGUUUCAAUUGUUACAUGGCGUUUUGUAUGACUGGCAUAACGUUUAAAAAUUGUUGCGUUUGCGGGAUGUUUGUGACUGGUUGAUUAUGAGACAUUGCAGCGGUUUAAUAAUAAAUUAUCAAUAUAAACAUAUUAUAAUA